GCCAGACUCCUACGGGAGGCAGCAGUGGGGAAUAUUGCACAAUGGGGGGAACCCUGAUGCAGCGACGCCGCGUGGGUGAAGGAGCACCUCGGUGCGUAAAGCCCUAUCGGCAGGGAAGAAACAGACGGUACCUGACUAAGAAGCCCCGGCUAACUACGUGCCAGCAGCCGCGGUAAUACGUAGGGGGCAAGCGUUAUCCGGAUUUACUGGGUGUAAAGGGAGCGUAGACGGAAAGGCAAGUCAGAAGUGAAAGCCCAAGGCUCAACCAUGGGACUGCUUUUGAAACUGUCAAACUAGAGUACGGGAGAGGUAAGAGGAAUUCCUAGUGUAGCGGUGAAAUGCGUAGAUAUUAGGAGGAACACCAGUGGCGAAGGCGGCCUGCUGGACUGCAACUGACGUUGAGGCCCGAAAGCGUGGGGAGCAAACAGGAUUAGAUACCCCUGUA
rnacentral:rRNA from 1 species